rnacentral:rRNA from 1 species
AUUGAACGCUGGCGGCAGGCCUAACACAUGCAAGUCGAACGAGUGGCGGACGGGUGAGUAAUGUCUGGGAAACUGCCUGAGGGAGGGGGAUAACUACUGGAAACGGUAGCUAAUACCGCAUACCAUCGGAUGUGCCCAGAUGGGAUUCGCUAGUAGGUGGGGUAACGGCUCACAUAGUCGACGCUCCCUAGCUGGUUUGAGAGGAGGACCAGCCACACUGGAACGGAGACACGGGCCAGACGCCUACGGGAGGCAGCAGUGGGGAAUAUUGCAGAAUGGGCGAAAGCCUGAUGCAGCCAUGCCGCGUGUAUGAAGAAGGCCUUCGGGUUGUAAAGUACUUUCAGCGGGGAGGCGUUACCCGCAGAAGAAGCACCGGCUAACUCCGUGCCAGCAGCCGCGGUAAUUC